rnacentral:rRNA from 1 species
GUCCACGCCGUAAACGAUGAGCACUAGGUGUCGGGGCCGUAGGGCUUCGGUGCCGCAGUUAACGCAUUAAGUGCUCCGCCUGGGGAGUACGCACGCAAGUGUGAAACUCAAAGGAAUUGACGGGGACCCGCACAAGCAGCGGAGCAUGUGGUUUAAUUCGAAGCAACGCGAAGAACCUUACCAGGACUUGACAUCCCUCUGACGUCCCUUUAAUAGGGGAGUUCUUCGGACAGAGGAGACAGGUGGUGCAUGGUUGUCGU